GCCUGCAAUUCGAAAGGUGGGAGGCCUUCACUUGCGGCCUUUGUCAUUGAUAGUGCAGGCAGAGGAUGCCUGGAAGCAUUUCCCAUGUUUGUGGAGCCUCUUGCCAUCCCCCGAACACUGAGCUUUUCAGACA
rnacentral:snoRNA from 1 species